GCAGCUGCCGGACACCAGGAGACGAUGGAAGGUCUAUAGUGUUACAGCUCUGACCCAGGAAGUCCCAGGGUCUUGCCUUCCAGAAGGGUCGCGGCUCUUCCCUCCCUCAGUCCAACGAACAGGAGCACGUCACCUCCCGCAGCUCGGGGAGCUGGCCAGGAACGUGUUACAGCCCGUUUCGCUCCUGUCCGCAGCUGGGUGAGGCAGCCAGGAAAAUAUUACAGCUCUUCUCACGCCCGCCAUUCAGCAGGUCCUGACUUCUUGUGUGACAUCCAGAAGAAAGGGGUUACACAGACAGCUGGAGGGUGAGCAAAGUGGAGAAGUUCUCAGCAGAGAGGAGACUGGAGUGAGUUGCCCCUACCCGCAGAUACGUGAACAGAAAAGCCUGAACUAGGGAACUGACCAUGAAACUAAAAAGGAGAAAGCAUAUGCAAGUGGACACAAUAAACCAGCAAAGAGUACAUAGAACAAACAUUUUUUUUAGAAGGAUUAAAUGGGACAAUUAAACAAUUUGAUCAGCAUAAUGUCCAGCUCAAGGAUCUUGGAGGUGGUGAGGCAGCCCAAGUGGAAAGGCAGCAGAAGGGGUAUCCUUGUUUUACCAAUUACUCAUAUGUAGGAGAUGGUGCAUUAAAUGAAAUAUUCUCUGCUCUCUCCUAACAUCUACCCCCUCACACCAAGAGGAAGGCAUGUCGCCUGAACCUUUGCAGUAUUCAAUUAAAGUUCUAUUCACACGGUAUUGCAGUUGUUUGCUUAUCUUUCUUUCUUAUUAGACUUAAAACUUCUGGAAACUAGAGGCUAUAUUACUUAUUUGCCUCAGAGUCCUGUUGGCCUAUCAAAUGGCACACCUUCAAUCCAAGAAUGAAUUAAUUAAAUAAAUGUGAAGAAAAAAAAAAUCCAAGUUGCUUAUUUUUGUUAAAUUUAUUUUUCCCCAAAAUAUUUACUGAGAAAAUGACUCUGGGAAGAUAGCAGAGUGGAAAGCCCCAGAAAUGUGUUUCCCCACCUAGACAACAACUGUACUGGCAGAAUCUGUUUGAUGUGACUAUUCUGAAGUUCUGAAUUGAAUAAAUAUGAAGAAAAUACAAA
rnacentral:lncRNA from 1 species